GAUGAACGCUGGCGGCGUGCCUAAUACAUGCAAGUCGAGCGAACGGACGAGAAGCUUGCUUCUCUGAUGUUAGCGGCGGACGGGUGAGUAACACGUGGAUAACCUACCUAUAAGACUGGGAUAACUUCGGGAAACCGGAGCUAAUACCGGAUGAUAUUUUGAACCGCAUGGUUCAAAAGUGAAAGACGGUCUUGCUGUCACUUAUAGAUGGAUCCGCGCUGCAUUAGCUAGUUGGUAAGGUAACGGCUUACCAAGGCAACGAUGCAUAGCCGACCUGAGAGGGUGAUCGGCCACACUGGAACUGAGACACGGUCCAGACUCCUACGGGAGGCAGCAGUAGGGAAUCUUCCGCAAUGGGCGAAAGCCUGACGGAGCAACGCCGCGUGAGUGAUGAAGGUCUUCGGAUCGUAAAACGCUGUUAUUAGGGAAGAACAUAUGUGUAAGUAACUGUGCACAUCUUGACGGUACCGAAUCAGAAAGCCACGGCGAACUACGU
rnacentral:rRNA from 1 species